AGGGGGAGGCGGGAUCCUGGGCUGUGUCCCUGGCACCCUGGGCUCCCGGGCCUGCUUUGCUGGAAUCACGCUCCUGGCAGUGCAGCCCCCU
rnacentral:pre_miRNA from 1 species